UUCUCUUUAUCUCUGGCAGCGGAGAGAGCAUUUCUCCGAUGGUGUGGCCUCUCCCGACCAGGACCUGGGUGCCCCCGCGGGCGGCGGUGGAAUUGGUGAAGGCCACCGGAGCGAGGAACCGGGUGGAGUCCGCUAUCUCUCAUCCCGUGUUUCGUCGCUGUUUGGAAGUCAGAAGUUUGGGUUUGCGUGGAUGCCGAGGAGCUGGGUUCCUCCAUGCCGGAGCUUCCAGGGAUCGACCGCCAUUUCGAGGAGUCGGUAGGAGGCUGGAUCGCCGGUGUGAUGGGGAGGUUAGGUGGCGCAGGGGAAUACAAAUACAUUGAUUUGCACCAUGAUUUGCUAGUAGACCUGGAGCAGCAAGUUUGGUCCGCAAUGGAAAUUGCAGCAGCUCCUAAACCCGCAGCUACCUACUGAUCUUUGCCAUCUGCAUCCCCAUGCUCUACAGACGUGCACCUGGACGUCAUCAAGAUUUUUUAGCCAAGCUACUGCUAGCGUGGGUCAUGACAUGCGUAUUUAUCAGUCUUAAUUAUCACAUUAGUAUUUUCUCACUUUUACUCACUUCAUUCUUAUGUAUCAUUUUUCAUUUUAGGGGUACUACGCUGAUCCUAGGAAAUAACUCAAUACAAGCUGAUCUUGGGGUAUUAGGCUGUGAAAAGGAAAGAGGGAAAAAUGUCAAGGAAUGCCACCCCCGCUCAAGCCAAUUUUGGGAUAGGUACAUGAUUGAUCAAAAAAGAAGGAAGUUCUGAAAAGUAGUAGGGGGGAGGGGGAAAAGCGGUGACAAUGUGACAUGCCUGUCCUGAGAGUGUAUGAGGUCCAAAGGCGGCUUUGCGUGAGGACUAAGAAGAAGAGAGACAUGGUGACGUGGAGGCAGCUGGUAGACCAGGCCAACGAAAACAGAAGGCCCACUUCCAUGUUUUAUGUGAAGGCCUCAAAAAAGGCUGAUGUGGAAAUAAUGCGCUACUUUUUUUUAGUCCUUACGUACGAAAGCUCAGUUCAAUUGAUUGUUUGCUGUGGAAUGGAAAAAACCAGAAAAAACCGGACUGACCCGAAUUUGUUUGACUUUUUUUGUCUGAACUGACUGGAAUGAAGUUUUAAGCAGUUUGAAGAGGUAAA